GAUGAACGCUGGCGGCGUGCCUAAUACAUGCAAGUCGAGCGAACAGACGAGGAGCUUGCUCCUCUGACGUUAGCGGCGGACGGGUGAGUAACACGUGGAUAACCUACCUAUAAGACUGGGAUAACUUCGGGAAACCGGAGCUAAUACCGGAUAAUAUAUUGAACCGCAUGGUUCAAUAGUGAAAGACGGUUUUGCUGUCGCUUAUAGAUGGAUCCGCGCCGCAUUAGCUAGUUGGUAAGGUAACGGCUUACCAAGGCAACGAUGCGUAGCCGACCUGAGAGGGUGAUCGGCCACACUGGAACUGAGACACGGUCCAGACUCCUACGGGAGGCAGCAGUAGGGAAUCUUCCGCAAUGGGCGAAAGCCUGACGGAGCAACGCCGCGUGAGUGAUGAAGGUCUUCGGAUCGUAAAACUCUGUUAGUAGGGAAGAACAAAUGUGUAAGUAACUAUGCACGUCUUGACGGUACCUAAUCAGAAAGCCACGGCUAACUACGUG
rnacentral:rRNA from 1 species